AAAGAAGUUCUACUGUGGGUAAAAUGCUAUCAAACAGCAUUGCCUGCUACAGAGAAAUCGUUCAUGAAAGGAAGAGUCACUUGAUGUGGCAAACUUCGUUGUUGUCUUAUUUUAAGAAAUUGCCAGAAACACCCCAGCCUCCAGCAACCACCACGCUGAUCAGUCAACAGCCAUCAACCUCGAGGCCAGACACACCACCAGCAAAAAGAUUACGACUCACUGAAGGCUCAGAUGAUGGUUAGUGCAUUUUCAGCAAUAAAGUAUUUUUAAGUUAGGGUAUGUACACUUUUCAGAGACAUAAUGCUAUUACACAUUUAAUGGACUGCAGUACAGUACAAUGUAGGCAUAAUUUUUGUAUGCACUGGGAAACCAAAAAACUUGUGAGCCUUGUGAUAUUCACUUUAUUGCAGUGGUCUGGAACCAAACCCUUAAAAUAUAUCCGUGUAGACGUGUCAUUGUCUUUAGUUGGAUCGCUCUCUCCCUUUGUUCUUCUUUCCCUCCAUUUAAAAACGAUGUAAAUUAUGUACAUACCAAAGGCUGUGUAAUCCUAAAAUGAGCCCUUCUGCUGACCUAAAAUCUCAAACAUUACCAAUAUUGUUAGAACAACCUAUGUGCUGCUUACCAUCCAUCUUAUCUCCUUGAUCUCCAACCAGGGGUAUCUGCCAUCGCAGUCUCAUGCUUCUCUCUCCUUUUAUUUGGUGUCUUGCUGCAUUUGUACAUAUAUAUGAACAAAGGUACUGUUUACCAUGCUUGUUUUUGAGAUUUAUAAAUGUGAAUCAUGUUAUGUUUUUUAAUCUGUCUUGGCUUUUUUAUUCAUCACUAUGUGUGCAAAUUUUAUUAUUUUAUAUGGCUAUAGUUUAUUGUGACUUCUAUAGAAUAGCUCACUGUGUGAAUGUAACAGGAUAUAUUUAUCCAUUAUCUUGUCAGUGGACAUUUAGAUUGUUUUCACUUUUUGGUAUUAUGAACAUUGCUGCAGUGAACAUCCUGCAUGUUUCUUGGUGCACAUGAGUUAAAAAGUCUGAGGGUAUAUACCUAAAUGUGGAACUGCUGAAUUAGAAUAUUGCAAAUGCCCAGAUUUAUGAAAUAAUGCCCAAAUGGUUCAAAAUGGCUGUCUCAGUUUAUACUCCCACUGCAUCAUUAACAACUUGGUGUUACCAGACUUACUAAUCUCUGCCAGUGUGAAUGAAAAUCUGUGUUAAAAUUAAAUUGUGGCUUUAAUUUGCACUCUUCUAAUAGCCAUUUUGGCUUAGUAUGUUUUCCUAUUUUUUAUUUACCUUUUGUGUUUUCUGUGAAAAGCCUAUUCAAGUUUGUUUCUCAAAUUUCUGUUGGGCUGUUUGUCUUCUUUUUGAGCAAUGAUAGUUCCUUAUGGUUUCUGAAUAUAGAUUCUUUAUUGUCUAUAUGUUACCCACAUUACCAAUUUUUGGCUGGUCUUUUUCAUGAUAUUUUGAGAAUAAAGUCCUUAAUUUUAAGAAAGCAUUUCCUAAUCUGAGGUUAUUAAGCUAGCUUCCUUUUUACUUCCAAAAUUUGUAGAAGUUUGCAUUUCACAACUAAGUCUUUGAAUAAUAAGAAAUGGAUGUUUUGUAUGUGAUGUGAGGCAGGGGUCUGAUUUCUUCCCCAUGUGGGUAACCGUUGUCCAAGCACUACAUACUGAAAAGUGUAUCUCGUUCUCCCUGAGCUGUGGUGCCACCUCUGAUACACAGUAAAUCUCUAUAGAUAAACGAGCCCAUUUUGGACUUUCUACUCUGGUUUGUUCUUGCAUUAAUUGCUAUAGCUUCAUGAUAAGGCAUGAUAUUUGGGAUGGCAUGUGCCCCCCCGCAACAGUUCACUUCUUUAGAAGUUUCUUUAGAAGCUUUGUGGCUAGUCUUGGCCUUUGUUGUUUAACAAAUUUUAGAAUUAGAGUGUCAAAUUUAUUGAUUAAACCUGUUGAGAGUUUUGAUCAGAACUAUAUGGAAUCUAUAGUUCAGUUUGAGAAGUGACUUUUUUUGUGAUUUGAAUCUUCUCAUUCAUGAACACAGUUUAUCACUCCAUUUAUUUAGGGCCCUUUCAAAAUCUUCUAAGAUUUUAUAAUUUUCUGCUUAUAGGACCUCCACAUUUUUUGUUAGAUUUAUUUCUAAUUACUUCAUUUUUUUGAUUACUGAUACCUUUGUUGAUAUAUGACACUUUUUAAAAAUUAACGUUUUCUAAUUGUUGGUGGUAUAUUAAAAUGCAAUUGAUUUUUGUGAAUUGACUUUAUAACCACUUACCUUAAUAAGUUCUUUUAUUUUAAAUAGCAUACCAGUAGAUGCUUUGGAGUUUCCUAUGUAGAACUUCAUAUCAUUUACAAAUAAUUUUUAUUACUUCCUUUCCAAGUGUGAUGAACAGGAUCAGUUAUCGUGGGGAUCCUUGUCUUGUUCCAGAUUUUAAAGGGAAUGUUUCUAACAUUUCCCCAUCAGGAGAGAUGUUUGAUGUACAUCUGUUAUCAGGUUAAAGAAACUUCAAUCUAUUCUUCAUCUCUUAAGAGAGUCUUACAGCUAUUUUAGUUUACCAGAUGUUUUCUGCAUCUUUUGAGGCGAUCAUACAGCCUUUCUCUUGUUAAAACCAUACAUAUACAUACACAUACAUAUAUGCACAUAUAUACACACAUGCAUAUACACACGUACAUACAUAUGAGUUCUAUGUAUAUAAUUAAAUUAAAUUAUGCAUUCCUGGGAUAAACCCAAUACAGUCACUAGAUUUAAUUGGCUAAUAUUUUACUUAAUAUUUUCACAUGCAUGUUUAUGAGUGAGAACAGGCCAUAAGCUUCCUCUUCUGUAUUAGCCUUAUUUAAUUUGUUAUCAAGGCCAAUAUGUUUCUUGAGAUGAGCUGGGGAGCUUUCCCUCUUUUGUGUUUCUAUUUUCAUUUUUGAAAGAGUUUGUAUAAGUGUGGAAUGAUCUGUUUCUUGAAAAAUGUGUGUAAGUAGCCUUUAUCACCUCUGGCCUUGGUGUUUCUUUGUGGGAAGGUUUUACCCUGAUGAUUAAAUUUCUGCCCUAGUUACAGGUCUUUUCAAACCUUCUAUUUCAUCUUGAGUCAUUUUUGGAAAUUGCAUUUUCUAGGAAUUUUGUCAAUUUAUUUGCAUUCUUUGUUUCUUGACACCAUCUUAAGUUGGAUGUUUAAGGCAUUAAUUUUAGCCUAUCUUCUUUUUAAGUAAAACUUUAAUGCCAUAAGUAGCACCAAGUAUCACGUUUGCUUCAUCUCACUAGUUUUGAAAUGUAGUUUUUUCAUUAUCAGUCAUUUGAUUAUUCAUUUAUAUCCAUUAUGGUAUUUUUCUUUGAAAAAUGAGGUCCUUCAGUAUAUUUUAAAAUGUCCAAAUGCAUGGGAACUUUUCUCCAUCUUUUUAUUGUUGAUUUCUAAGUUAAUUCCAUUAUGGCUAGAUAACAUCAUCUGAAUGACACUAGUUGUCUGAAAUUUAAUGCAAUUAGCAUAAUCCAGUAUGUGGUUAAUAUGUGCUUCAAAAGAAUGUGUCUUCUUUCCUUAUUUGAUUCAGACUUUUAUAUCUACCCAACAAAUUAAGCUUGUUGAAUGUGUUACUAAAAUUCCCCAUGUUUACUUUUUUUCUGAUUGACCAGUGAUCGAGAGAAAGAUGUCUAAAUCUCACCGUUAGUGGAUUUGCCAAUUUUUCCCCUGUAGUUUUAUUAGUUGUGUGUGUGUACAUAACACACAAACACACAUAAUUGUACAACAUAUCCAUAAAGGGGGGGCAGAGAUUGUUAUUAAAGGCAUACACAUGAAAAAUUUUUAUGUCCUCGGUGAAUUGAAACUUUUUUGUCAUGUAGAGCUCUUUGUAUCCUGAAUAAUGCUUAUUUCUUAAAACGUAUCUUAAAAUGUAUUUUGUUUGAAGUAUGACUAUAUUAACUUUUAAUAAGUGCUUGCCUGGUAGAUACGUCACCUUUAAUUUUAAUUUUUUUUUUUUUAAUGGCAGUACUGGGAAUUGAACCCAGGAGCAUGCACUCCUCUGACCUAUACCCACCCGUUACUUUUAGUUUUCCUAUACCUUAAGUUUAGAUAUUCUUCUCAUAAAUGACAUAUAACUAGACUUUGAUGAUUCAUUGUGACAAUCCCUGAUGUUUCGCUGGAAAGUUCAGUGUGGUUAGAGUUAAUCUUCCAGUUUUCCUAUGGGUAUCUUUUCUCCUUUAUUAUCUUUUUUUACCUUUGGAGAUAUGAGAUCUGCUUUUCUGUUUAUUUUCCUAUUUUAUUUUUUCUUACUCCAUUUUUUUUCUAUUGGUGAUCACAUUGAAAUUUUACCUUUGUGACAUUGUGAUUUAUAGGACAAAUAUAUAGUCUUCAUCCACAGUUCCUGGACCACAGCCCCCAAAAUCUUUGGAAUUUCCUGAGUGAGAUGGGGUAAUACUUGGUCCCUUGUCCUCAGUUUCUGAAACCACUCUCAGGUAGGGACUGUCCCUUUUAUUCUGAUGAGUGGGGCGGAGGAAAAGGGGGCACUGGGGAAGGUUUCUGCUGCGGGAAGAGCACUGUUGACAUGUCUAGGAAGAGACCCUUGUGACAUUCGAAUUCUAAGUCAUUCGAAGGAGAAGGCUCCGUAAGACACGGUUUCUACAAACACACGGCGCAUCUGCAUAUAGGAUGUUCCUGUGGGAUGGCUCACUUUAGAACAGAGGUCCUGUUCAGCGCGAUGCACACACCAGUCAAAUCUAUCCUCCACAGAGUGUAAGCACUGGGACUGGUGUGGCUUUAUCGGCUGCUGACUGUUCACCCCUCCCGGGGGCUUGGCUGCACAGCACUGCACUUUCUUUCAGAGGGCUCCUUGAGAAGAGAGGAAUAAUGAAAACAAAUGUAUUUUGGCUAAAAGGAACAUUCUACCACUUCUUAAACGGGGAAGUUGUACCCACGGACACUUUGGACAGGAAAAGACAGCUGGGAAAGCUGAAAGGUGCACAUGCUCUCCGGGGAAGGGAGAGUCCUGGGGGACAGAGCCGACAUCUGUGGCUUUGCUACUCAUGGGAGCAGCUGGUGUGCUGUGCGGGCGGCUGAUUGCUAACUGUCAAUCAGAAAUAUUCCCUUUAAAUAAUCCCACAAAUCUACCAGAAUGGAGGCUUUACGUAAGAACCCCUCACGCGCCCUGAGGAGAUCUAGGAUGGUCUUGUCCCAACAGCGACUUUCCCAGGAACACCUCCGCACUUUGGAGCAGCUGGGUAACCGUGGAGGUGAAACAGACUGUAAUUCCUCCCACGCUCUGUUGUGCUUCCUGGUGAAGGGAACGCUGUGACAUCUGGGAUCGGCUCCACUGGAAUUUCCUGAUUAUGUCUCUGGUGACAGGACACAGAAUGCUUUGAUUUGUCUCAGAAUUUUCGCUGGGCAAAUUGCUAACACACAGAGAUGACAUGAAGCCUUGACUACCUGAGCCUUCCCAAAUGGUUUGGGUUUAACUUUUUAAGUUAUUAUUUCAAGUCAGGUGUGGAGGAAACAUAUUUUAGAGUGAAUCUGAUUCCCGUCUCCAAGCUGAAAGUUUUCUUUGGAAAAUUCGCUUCAUCAGGUUCAGGACUGGACAGCAAGCCUUUCUCCGGGGCUGGGGGUCAGCUCUUCCAGGUCUGAGGCUGUCACAGGAGAAGCACCUGUGCGUCCCAGGGGACUGGAAACAGUGCCCACUGCUGGGGCAGGAGCUUGCUUCUCGGUGUAACAGGAGGUCACGGCCACUAGAUGGAGACAUCCCUUCGUAGACUUUAUCUGGCCAAGUCUCCUCCCAGCGUCGUGCACGACGCAGCUGGCGGGGGCUGAUUCCAGGACUAUGGCUCCCACCGCUGCUGCCGAGAGCCAGGCCCGCUCCCCUGAGCUUCUGCAAAGGCCAGCGUUGUUUCCUCAAGCACUCUCCCCAAACUGCUACACUGAAUCCUUUGGUGCAAGAGAUGGCAAAUGGACAAACGUGUUUUCUUUCACUCGUUAUACAGUUAUUAGAUAUUUGUUCGAAUGUGUAACGGAAAAAAUGUAACAAAUACAUUCAGCCCGUGACGUUAGUAGUUUUACUUAAGGAUACUUCUUUUUGAAAAGGAUCACACUUAAAAUUAGAUUAAAGAAAAUCGUUUAGUAGCUAGCAUGCACAAGGGCCGUGUGAAAACGGCAAGGCUGCGGGGCGCUGGGCCUCGGCUGAGGUCUGGGAAGGGGGCUGGCUGAACUGCUGCGGGGAGAGUUGGUAAAAGUCCCUGCACCGCGGCCGUGCUGGAAACUCCAUUUCCAGGAACAAACUGUCAUCUCACGAACGGUUUGGAGGCCUCCGCCUGCUGACCAGCAGGGAGUGAUCCCAGUCCGCUUGUCUUCCCCCAGCCUCUGAAGCAGGAGGCCUCUGAUUUGCUCUGCGCUCUUGGGUGGCUGUGUAGGUUCAAGAACCUGGAACCCUCUCAUGCUGGAGACGCAGCCAGGAAGCCACCCUCUGUGGAGUUAGAGGCCCACGGUGUGCAUGUUGCGUUGUCUGUUCCAUGUACCCAAUAGGAGCAGAUGGGCUGGGGGAGGGGGAGGAUCUUUGGGGGCAAACGGCGAUUUGUGGGGCUUAGCUAACAAUUUUGAAACCCAGAAAUCAGGAUUUGGGGAAUAAACUUGAGUAGGGAGUCACUCCGUGCCCUCCAACCUCUUCCUGCUCCUGGUCCCACCUUCCCCUCCACUGUCCUCAAGGAAUGCUCACCUCAGCGUCUUAUUUUAUUUAGUGACAAGCCUGUGAGGGGAGAGGUCAUAUUGCCCUGUUUUCUAGGUGAGGAACCUGACGUUCAGAGCAGCUGAGUAACUAGUUGGUUACUGGAGAAAAGGCAUCUGAAUUCUGGUUUCUAACCCCAGGUCUUCUUUCAAUAUGUUCUACUUUUUCGGGAUUACGAUGCCCCGCAUGAAAAUUGCACAGACAUGUACUUUAGUCACCUUCUAUUUUAAAUGCCAGCUUUUUCGUGGGGAAAACAAUUGGAGUGAAGACCCCGGAGACACAGAAUUCACCCACAUCAUGAAGUGUUGCAGUUUGGAGGGCACAGAUUUGUGUAAUAACAAAUUGCCUCGUGGGGACAGAUUGUGGCGUCGCACAACCAUACUGCAUCAGCGGGUGUUUUUCCUGUUAAUUGGUUUAGAAUGCGUGGGGGGACAUACGAUGCAUUCAGCAGUUUUGUUGAGAAAAUAAUAAAUUAGAUAUUAA